AACGAACGCUGGCGGCAGGCUUAACACAUGCAAGUCGAACGCAUCGCAAGAUGAGUGGCAGACGGGUGAGUAACGCGUGGGAAUCUACCCAGUUCUACGGAACAACAGUUGGAAACGACUGCUAAUACCGUAUACGCCCUACGGGGGAAAGAUUUAUCGGAAUUGGAUGAGCCCGCGUAAGAUUAGCUAGUUGGUGGGGUAAUGGCCUACCAAGGCGACGAUCUUUAGCUGGUCUGAGAGGAUGAUCAGCCACACUGGGACUGAGACACGGCCCAGACUCCUACGGGAGGCAGCAGUGGGGAAUAUUGGACAAUGGGCGCAAGCCUGAUCCAGCCAUGCCGCGUGAGUGACGAAGGUCUUCGGAUUGUAAAGCUCUUUUGCCAGGAACGAUAAUGACGGUACCUGGAGAAUAAGCCCCGGCUAACUUCGUGCCAGCCGCCGCCGUAACAC
rnacentral:rRNA from 1 species